rnacentral:rRNA from 1 species
AUGAACGCUGGCGGCGUGCCUAAUACAUGCAAGUCGAGCGAACAGACGAGGAGCUUGCUCCUCUGACGUUAGCGGCGGACGGGUGAGUAACACGUGGAUAACCUACCUACAAGACUGGGAUAACUUCGGGAAACCGGAGCUAAUACCGGAUAAUAUAUUGAACCGCAUGGUUCAAUAGUGAAAGACGGUUUUGCUGUCACUUAUAGAUGGAUCCGCGCCGCAUUAGCUAGUUGGUAAGGUAACGGCUUACCAAGGCAACGAUGCGUAGCCGACCUGAGAGGGUGAUCGGCCACACUGGAACUGAGACACGGUCCAGACCCCUACGGGAGGCAGCAGUAGGGAAUCUUCCGCAAAGGGCGAAAGCCUGACGGAGCAACGCCGCGUGAGUGAUGAAGGUCUUCGGAUCGUAAAACUCUGUUAUUAGGGAAGAACAAAUGUGUAAGUAACUAUGCACGUCUUGACGGUACCUAAUCAGAAAGCCACGGCUAACUACGUG